rfam:Gammaproteobacteria bacterium RIFCSPHIGHO2_12_FTLL_38_11 rifcsphigho2_12_scaffold_2040, whole genome shotgun sequence.
GCCCGGGUGGCGAAAUUGGUAGACGCAAGGGACUUAAAAUCCCUCGGUAGGCUUAACCCUCCGUGCCGGUUCGAGUCCGGCCCCGGGCA